GGCAACGACCCGAAGGGCGAAGCGCGCAGCGCUGAGUCAUCCUUCCCCCACCACCA
rnacentral:sRNA from 9 species